AGAGUUUGAUCAUGGCUCAGGACGAACGCUGGCGGCGUGCUUAACACAUGCAAGUCGAGCGAGAGCCGGCUGAGGGGUAACCCUCGGCCGGGGACAGCGGCGAACGGGUGCGUAACACGUGGGCAACCUGCCCCUGACUCUGGGAUAACCCCGGGAAACCGGAGCUAAUACCGGAUACUCUCGGCCAACCACAUGGUCGGCCGAGGAAAGAUCCGUCGGUCAGGGAUGGGCCCGCGGCCUAUCAGCUUGUUGGUGGGGUAACGGCCUACCAAGGCGACGACGGGUAGCUGGUCUGAGAGGACGACCAGCCACACUGGAACUGAGAUACGGUCCAGACUCCUACGGGAGGCAGCAGUGGGGAAUAUUGCACAAUGGGCGAAAGCCUGAUGCAGCGACGCCGCGUGAGGGAUGACGGCCCUCGGGUUGUAAACCUCUUUCGGCAGGGACGAAGCGCAAGUGACGGUACCUGCAGAAGAAGUCCCGGCUAACUACGUGCCAGCAGCCGCGGUAAGACGUAGGGGACGAGCGUUGUCCGGAUUCAUUGGGCGUAAAGAGCGCGUAGGCGGCUACGCAAGUCGGUUGUGAAAACCCGGGGCUCAACCCCGGGCCUGCAUCCGAUACUGCGUGGCUAGAGGUAGGUAGGGGAGAUCGGAAUUCCUGGUGUAGCGGUGAAAUGCGCAGAUAUCAGGAGGAACACCGGUGGCGAAGGCGGAUCUCUGGGCCUUACCUGACGCUGAGGCGCGAAAGCUAGGGGAGCAAACAGGAUUAGAUACCCUGGUAGUCCUAGCCGUAAACGUUGGGUGCUAGGUGUGGGCGGAUAUCGACCCCGUCCGUGCCGAAGCUAACGCAUUAAGCACCCCGCCUGGGGAGUACGGCCGCAAGGCUAAAACUCAAAGGAAUUGACGG
rnacentral:rRNA from 1 species